rnacentral:hammerhead_ribozyme from 1 species
AUCCAGCUGAAGAGUCCCAAAUACAACGAAAUGCGCAUCCUGGAU